GUAUUUAACAAGUGACAUCAAUAAGGGAUCAUAGCUUUCACCUGGAUUCACAGAGUCAGUCUAUGUCAUGGAAAGAGCAGGUGUUCCUAAUGUUAUGUACACUCAGUGCAUGAUGGAAUACAUUGAAGUCACUGUACAAUCAACAGCUAUCUGUUACAGCACUCAUUUUCAAUACUUUUUGACUGUUUGUUUUUAUGUUUACAUUAUCUGUGUUGUAGCCUGUUAUUUUCUGUCAUACCAGGAAUCAUUUGAUUGCAGACUGUACACCCCAACUUUAGCUGAUUAUAAGAAAUGUCCCAGGUCCACACUCACAUGCUUUACGACAGAAGUAAAAGUCCUGAUGUUAGAAUAUGGGGAACGUUCUUCAUCCUUACACCAGAAAAGACUCACCAAACGACUGACUAAAUUGAUGUCCUUGAUAAAACAGAAGGAUGGUGCCAACUGUCCACACUGUGAGGUCCACAGAGAACAGGCAGCAAAUGAUUUCUUAACAACAUUACUAGGGAUUCUGGAGUGGAUGAACAAUCAGGGGUCUCAGUUGCCAGACAGCCACUGAGAUGUACACACCCAUAGCCAGGGACAUCCAAGGACUCACAUAAGAGCAGAAAGCUACCUGAACAAUUGCUAGAUGUAGCAAAAUACUAUAUACACUACCAAGUUUGGGGUCACUUAGAAAUAUCCUUGUUUUUGAAAGAAAAGCACACACAACAGCUGGUGCACGAAAUCU